rnacentral:rRNA from 1 species
AAGAGUUCAUAUCGACGGCGGUGUUUGGCACCUCGAUGUCGGCUCAUCUCAUCCUGGGGCUGAAGCAGGUCCCAAGGGUAUGGCUGUUCGCCAUUUAAAGAGGUACGCGAGCUGGGUUUAGAACGUCGUGAGACAGUUCGGUCCCUAUCUACCGUGGGCGCUGGAAAUUUGAGAGGAUCUGCUCCUAGUACGAGAGGACCAGAGUGGACGAACCUCUGGUGUACCGGUUGUGACGCCAGUCGCAUCGCCGGGUAGCUAUGUUCGGAAGGGAUAACCGCUGAAAGCAUCUAAGCGGGAAGCCUACCUCAAGAUAAGAUUUCCCUAGGACUUUAUGUCCUCUAAAGAGCCGUUCGAGACUAGGACGUUGAUAGGUUGGAUGUGGAAGCAUAGUGAUAUGUGAAGCUGACCAAUACUAAUUGCUCGUGAGGCUUGACUAUACAACACCCAAGCAGUUG